UUCUAAUCCCUUCUUAGCAUGCACCAUAUACAAAGUGGGACUUUUAAGGUAAGAGGAAAAGCAGGAAUAUUUUAAGAACUGCUGAGUCCCUUGGUAAGCUACUUUCCAAGGAGGUUACCCACCAGCUUUCUGUGAGAUUUUGAUCUUGUUCUCUUGAAUUGAAGAGAGUCCUGUGGUCUUCAGUAGACUAGACAAUAUUGAAUGCCAAGUUUUUACUAGUUUGUCAAGUAUCUCAUUGCUGUUCACUAUCUGCAAUGUUCCUUGGGUUACUGUGAAAGGCCUGGACACCUUUUGUAUUACAAAUUCAACAGAUUUGUGGUAUUUUGUGUACCUACAAGAAUAUGGAGAAGUAAUUGAGUUUGCACAAUAACAUUUGCCUAUGACUAGAGGAAAUUAAGCAGAAUGGAGUCUUGUCUUGUGUAUUCCAGUAGGUACAACUGAAUCCUUGAAAACUUCUAUGUCAGUGAAAUUAAUUUUGUGGGAUCUGUAACUAUAGCUGCUAAGAGUUCCAACUGUACAACUGUAGUAAGGAGAAAAGUAAUCAUUUUAUGAUGUCGUUUCUUAAAUAUAAGAGUGAGAUAUUUUAAUGCAGUCCAGAAAGAUGCACCAACCUACAGCAGCCAGUGAGACAUCAGCUCCACCUACAGCAAAGGCUGUUCCAUAGCUCUCACAGAAACACAACAAACAGGUCCAAAACAUUGGCACUUGCAGUAGUUCCUCUUGCUCAGGAAGAUUACCUUACCGCAAGGAGAUACAAAGAAGCAGUGGAUUAAAGAGGCCUGCAGGGAAUUACUGAGUCCUAUGCAACUUCAUACAGAGGAAUUUUUAACAAUAGAGGCAAAUAACUAUUAGAAAGUACUUUAUUAUGGAAAAUAUGAAAACCGAAUUGACGUAUCUUCUUCCUGAAGCAAUCAGGAUUUUUCAUAUUUCUAUUAUGAACUGAAAACAAGACGUGCAGCCUGCCCAGAAGCAUCCUGAGCCUCAAAUCCCUUAAUCUCUCAAGUGCGAUCUGUGGUGCCAGCUAUGCUGGGGAGGGUAGGAAAUUUCCCAUAAAAGAUUCCCAAUGUCAAUUAAAAAUUCUGCAUUUGCUUCUUAGUUUAUCUGAAACUGAAGAAGGUGGCUCUUUCUUGCAGUCAAAACAUGUCAUAUGCAUAUUCUCACACAGAAAGCAGUGGAGGUUCUGAAGCCUAUCUUAGAGUGUGUUUGAUUUCCUGGCUGCCUUAUUUGUUUACAACAAUGCUCUUAAAAUUGUCUCUACCAUCUGUGUGGUUUCUAGUUGUUUGAAUGAGAAUGAGAUAUUAAAAUGCCAUCCAGAUGUCUCGUUGCAUAUCAGCAUUAACAUAUUAUGCAAAUUGUCACAAGGAUAGGUUUUUUUUCUUCUUAAACAAAACAAUAUUUUUAGAUGGAAUGGAGAGAAAUAAAUCUGUGAAGGAUGACAAGGGAAAAAAUGCGCUGAGCAUAUUCAGCUGAACUUUUCAAUCAUUUUUUAUGAAAGGGUUAGGUACAAAGUGUCCUUAGUUUUUUUACCAUAAAUCUGUAGAAGAACAAUUGGGUGAAAACACGAUAAUAAACCAACAAAGUACCUCUAAACCCAAAUAUCUCAGAAAAUGAAUUCAACAAAGUGAAAUACAAAACUUGCCUCUGUGUAUUUAUCUCACAAGAACAGGACUUUGCGAAGAAUGAUAGCAGUUGUCUGCUGGCUACUAAGCAUCCAAUUUAAAGAAACCUUUGUCUCUUAUUCUGCAGAUAUUUACAUUUGGAGACAGAAUCAACAGUGCAAGGCCAGACCUGUGCCCUCAUUGCUCUCAAAAAUAAGAAGAGAUGUCUGGAAAUUAAAGCAAGUGUCUGAGAUUAUACUGUUUUCUUGCAUCUUGACUCUUACAGCUAAGGACAAACGUGAUGCUGUUGCCUGUGUUUUCCUUAGAACCACAGAACGGCUUGAGUUGGAAGGGACCUCAGUCAUCAUCCAGUUCCACUCCUACACCAUGGGCAGGGUUGCCAACUUACUCAGGCAUCUUUAUGGGCACAGAGCAGCAUAUGCCUCUGCCCUUCACAAUGACUUUCUUCAAGCACUUGAUGAAGACAUAUACCAUUCUGAACCACAUUUGAGGGUGUUUCCAACUAAGCUUGCUGAGGGAUGAAGCUAUAAGGACUCAUUGCCAAGAAAUGCUAGUGGAUACACACCUUCACCCCUCUCGCAGAGAACUAUUGAUGGGCUCACGUGGCUGAGAUAUUUAUGAAGAAACUUCUUGUACAAGACCUUGUCCCUGACGAGCUUUUAAUGAUGAGGAAGCGACUCAACAAUCGAUGCUCAAGAGGUUGAAAUAAGAAAGCCACUCCAGCCACAUAGGAACCAUUGCAGAACUCCAGGGAUGCUUCAUUGCAGCAUGACAAAAGUUAGGAGCGAUGCUGUGGAGCGAUGGGGCUCUGUGGAGGAACAAAGCAAGAAUUCUUGUGCUCACUGCUGUAUUCUCCUUCAACACACACUGAAAAAUAAUGGUGGAAAUAAAAAGAAUAAACCAUUUUGCCGCUGACAUUAUUUACCUCGCUUUAACAUAACACUUAAGGCAAGUCACUGAAGACCAAGUCUACUGAAAGAUCUAAAGUUUACAUCCAGUGAAGUCAAAAGCUACAGGUGCUGGCUCAGGACCUCGUGGCUCAGUCCUACUGUGGUCUCACCCCUCCGGUGAUCAGAGCUCAGUGCCAUUUCACUCCACUCACCUCUUACUUCCAACCUAAUUUGUCUGAGGUGGAGAAACCUCACACUCUCCAGAGAUCGAUUCUCCUCAAACACAGCACACAAAUAAAUAUUUUACAAGCCAUAUAAAUGAAUCACUUUCCAUUUUUCUCUUUCUCAUCUGCUGCAUGAAGGAGAUGCUGGUACCAACCUGCAGCAGUUAGGUCCCGUGCCAGGGGUCAGCAGGCACAGCUCCCCAUGUGCCAGCCUCUGCUCAUCCCUCCUCUUCCCUGGGCUCCCUCCUAGGUUCCAAAAAUAACAUUUGCUACUAUUCAGGUUAGUUUUUGACAUCGUUUUAACUCUUGCUCAGCUGUAAGAAUUGAUUAUUAAAAAUACAUAAUUGCCCGUUUGUCCCAGAAAACACAUUCCUGAGGUCCUAUGCAUCAGUGGUCUGCAGUGACCUCUCUGUUAGUAACAAACUGUGCACUGAAACUACUGAUGUGUGAAACCCUGAGCAGGAGGAAAACUCUACAUGUGGUUACACCCUUUAGCACUUAGUGGUCAGUAGCUAAUACGGUGUGCCUUGAAUGUGGCUGCGGGGAAUUAACACUUGACACAUCAGGAUCCCACUGCAAUAACCCUAUCCUUUUGACUUCAAAGUCGACAGAGGAGUAAUGGUGAGAUCAAAGACUUCCAGCACAAUUACAGGUUUUGAAGUCUGCAGGCCAUAGAAAUGGGAGGCAUUUUCCUUGAUUUGCUCUUGUAGUUUUGUGAACUCCUGAGAUCUUUGAGUCACUGUUCCAACUUUUGAUGCAAACUAAUGUUUGAUGCACAAGGAUCUGAAGAGGUGAAGGAAUUCCAGAUUAAUCUGUGCUGACAGCAUGUGCUCUUUAGCUUCCCAUUGAUUGCUCAGAUACAAUGUAAGGUUUUCCUCUGGAAAAAAAAUCUCCCUCUUACCACCUUAACCAAGGAACUCCUCCAGUCUGACUUCCUUUUACAACCGAGACACCAGUAGUAGUCAGGCACUCAGAAUCAUAGCAUUUCCUGAUACCGUGACAGAUACAUGGUUGUCCAUUUUUCUGGUACAUACGUUUAUCAAAUCCAUUUAUCCUUCUCUAUAUAUGAGCAAUCUUUUCCUCCUGCUCAUCUACUUGCUUUUAUCAAUAUUGGUUGCCUCGCUUCCUCUGCCAAAAGUUAUCUUUCUCCAUGAUGCUCCACGAUGGAUCAUUCCAAUGGAUGUAAUCAAUUGUUUUUAUUGUGAAAUUCAGUAUUUUGUGAGGAAGUAUUUUUAACUUCUUCCCAGACAGCCACUCGUAAGCAGGACAUCAAAAGCACGAGGAAUGCACUGCCCCUUUUACUGCUCUUGAAUGGAAGAGCAGAUGCUGGUUUAAGGUUCAUCUAUGAUAUGGUCUAGAUUUAUACAUGAAAUAAUUGCUCAAUUACCAUGACAACAUGCCUGUGCUCAAUACUCCGAAUGAGCUAUAAAACCUCAAUAGGAAACGAUUAACUCAGGCUUCUCAAUCCAUUUCAGACAGUGCUGCAAGUAAAACCUGGCCAGUCUGCAUUGCACCCUGAGCACCUGCAAAAGCUGGAGAUGGCAAAAAGCACCGUGGAGAUAACCCACUGCGGAGGAACACACUGCACUUCGGACAGCAAGGAAGUGUCAAUGCUGCCAGCACCUCUGCGUGGGGACUCCUGAAAGUCACACUGCAUUACUGCUUCAGUGUGGAAACUCAAUUGCUUAUCCUUUAUGGGAGAUAAUCUUUGAAUGUAGCAGUGUACCGCAUUAACCCCAUUUGUCCACAAGACAGUCAACGUGUCUAUAAAUCCUGUCUAUAUGGGGGGCUACAGUUGGGUGACAUCCUCUUUCUGCACUAUGGAGUCCUUGUAAAACAGGCUUAAUAUAGCAAUAAACCUGUUUAUUUUUGUUACGGUUCUUCCAUCACUCUCUUACUGCUUCUGUUUUCUUUUUGAAAGCACUCGAUUGUACCAUUCUCUGUCUGUUUUCAGCACCAUAAAAUGAAAUUCACCUCAUUGAUCAAACGAUGACCUCUAUCCAGUGCCUCUUAGAUUAGAGAUAACAGCAGGCUGCUGUCUAACUGAGAAAUAAUUCCUUCAGCUCCUUCAGCUCUCUUUAUUAUGAUUGCUUCCUAAAAUAUCACUUAAAACUGGGAUGGAAACAAAUGAGAAUGUCUUCUCUCAAUGUUUGCGUUUUGACUCACCAAUACACACAAACACACACUGCGGUGUGCAUUGUUCUAGAAUAAUUCAUUCAUUUUCCCCCUAGAAGAUGAAGAAAACAUUUAACUGCACAUAACUGAAGGAAGAAAGGAGCAAAAGCGGAUUGACAUAAUGCCUACCUUUUGCCGGAAAGACUUUGUGCUUUAAAACAGGAAAAAAUGGUAGCGGUACAUUCGUGUGAAACUCAAAUUGUGCUACUCAGGAACAGGUUUUUAAAUAUCAGCAUUAAAGAUCGCAUUAGAAUACAUUAUCACAUUCUGUGCCGUAGCAUGUGUUACGUAUUUGUAACAAGGGAAGCAUGAAAGACUAAUCAUACACGGGGAAUAAUGGCAUGUUUUCAUGGCGAGAUUUGCAAGGCAUUAUCCCAGACAUUCCCUUCUGGUGGGGCAGGAAAAGGGAGAUUCUGUUCUGCAUUAUGCUGCUCAGCAUCUGCUGCUGGAUGGGACGCUGUGAAGGUGUUAGGUCUGUGGUGACAUUUAUCCCCAAAUAGGCAUAAAUGUGUGCAUUAUUUCAGCUAUUUCAGGUCUAUUGAUGAGCUGCAGGAGAUCACAGAAUCAUGGAAUCGUUAAGGUUGGCAAAGACCAUUGAGAUCCUCAAGUCUAACCCCAACCCAUCCCCACCAUGCCCACUGACCAUGUCCCUCAGUGCCACAUCAGUACUGGAGCACCUCCAGGGACAGAGACUGCUCCCCAUGCCCUAGGCCCUACCACCCUGGCUAAGCAGUGGGAUUUCAAGGGGACUUGUCUGCCUUCAUGAAGCCUCUCAGCUUCAGCCUGACUGCCCUUCAGUUCUCCAUACUGAAUAAUGCAUUUUUUUCAGGAAUGAAACAAACCUUUUCCCCCAACAAAACAUUGAGUGCCUCAGACACUGGAAUGGGUUUUUGACAGCUGAUCUUAUUUCAUCAAGUAAUAUGUCAUCAAAGCAACACAAUUCUAAUAGUGUCUUACACCAGUACAGAUGACAUGUUACACAAAUGUACUGACCCAGCAAUGCUGGCUCGAUGACCCCUUUGCACUAACAUAAGUUACCCAGCAGAUGCCUUUUCCAGCAUAUUGGGAUUUUCCUGCUUUGUUAAAGACAGAUAAUAGGGAGAAAAUUAUUUUCUUUGUGGCUGUAGUGUGUACCACUGCCUCUUCCAGGUGAUGCAAAUAAGCUGUGACUGAAGUAGUCUGAGAGGGAGUGUUAUGAAGUUAAGAAACUUAACGCUGCCUUUCUUGCUUUAACCAAGGGGACAGACCACUCUUCAGAAUUCUGUCCCAGUAGACAAAAGACAGACUUAAGAGUCUGCACUGAGAUAUCUGCCAUGGACUCUAUGUUCUCCAGUGGCCAAUUGUGAAGUCUAAACAGAAAUUGCCACACCCAGGCUUGAAAACUCAAGAGUGUGCUCCCAAGAGAAAAGUGCAGCAAUUUCUCAAGGCCUAUCUAUCACAGAGCUAUGGAAUAAAGACAGCCUGAACAGCCCCUAGCUGGGAAAAUUAUCAUCUGGGAAUCAUCUCCGUGUUCUUGAGAAGAAAGUCCUUGGGGCACAGAAUCUCCUCUGACUACGCUUGGUCCUUGACACUGUACUGAAAUAACACAAGCAUUACUAAUUCUGAAAACUUGUUCUGCACGAAACUAUCUGCAUGCUCCAAAUUUCCCUGUAUCAUGCACUGUCCCCUUUAAAAACCAACCAACCAACCAAAUAAAACAAAAAACAACAAAGGACAAGUCAUAAUAGCCCCAUUGUUCCCCCAUAGGUGCAAGGAACUAAAGUUUCAGAUGGUCACAGUUUUGGGGUAAUACCAGAUAUCCCUCACUGCACGGCACACAUUGCAAUGAGAACCUGCCAGUGCUUCAGACAACUCGAUCCAUUCUGGGAUUUUCAAAACUAGUAAAAGCACACAGAGAGGUUGACAGAUACAUUUGCUGUGUAAUAUUGGCUCUGCAAUGCUAAUAUUGGCUGUUGCCUGACAUUCUAUAUAGCAACAUUUAUAUAACCAAAGUCCCUAUCAUUUCUAAGUUAUCUGAUGCACCAUGAAAUUUCAAGGCAGUGAUUCCAUUUUCUUUGCUGAUCAACUUAAAGCUCAUGAUGAAUCAAGUAAUAUCAAAGAAGAUAAAUUAUGCAGCUGUUUAUUUACAGUUUAC
ensembl:lncRNA